GGGGGCGUGGUCUAGUGGUCUAGGAUGCCUGCCUGUCACGCAGGAGGUCGCGAGUUCGAACCUCGUCGCCCCCGCCA
rnacentral:tRNA from 1 species